UAAAUUACACUUUAACACAAAGUUUAAAAACAUAAAUUUAAAAUUAUAAUAAUAUAUCACAAUAUUUCAGUUUUCCUGUAUUUUGAUCGAAUGAAUUCAGUCUUGGUGAGCAUGAGACUUCAUUCAAAAAUUCAUUCAUUCAACAAAAACUCCCAACUUUUGAAGAAUAGCGUGCACGCAACUUUACUGUUUGACAAAAUAACACCUGCGACCUUAAAACAAUCACAAAAAUGGAGAACACAACUUGACAGCUCAAAUAUUACACAAGCAAUAGAAAAUGUGCCCAAUUUAAUUCCAUUGUAGGUUACCUUACUUUAGUUUCCUUUUGUUAUAUAUAAAACAAAGGGGCGAAUCAAAUUUUCAUUGUUGUAGCAAUCCACAUUCUGCAACAAAUGUUGUGGAUUGAGCUUUACUUCUAUUAAACAAUCAAUAUUAUUUAAACCUAGAAUCUUAAAGUCUGUUUGUGAACCUUACAGUAGUAUAAUAUGGCUAAUUGGAAUAAUGCACACAAGUCUUAUGGACAACUUUUAUAGUAGGUGACUUUUAAAUCAGCUUGAUCAUCAUAUGCUUCUGUUAUAUGGAAGACAGCAGCACGAGCAUUCUUCAAACCAUCUCCUUCGGUGCUCCACUGAAAACAAGAUAAUCUAAAACACCUGGAACAGCAGGAGGAUGAGUAAACGAUGAGAGAACUUUCAUUUCAGGUUGAACUAAAGUGUUAGAAAUAAAUAGCCAUUAAACAGGGCAAACAAUCCUGAUUCAUGGCAUGUUGUGGCAUGAACGUCUUGUCGUGGCCUAUGACAAGGAUUUAACAGAUGGAAACAGCCAAGGAAAUGUGUCAUAUACAAAAGCUGACAAGACAGCAGAUUGUCUAGGGAGAGCCUCAAGGCAGCUUUGUGGAAGGUUCACACACACACACACACAAACACAUUUCGGACAUGUGGGGCUCUGUUGGGAACCAGUGCUCGCUAAUGAAGUGAGUGUGUGAGAAAACAUGUCACACACACACACACGAUUCCCACAAAGACAUAAUAGAAGCAAUUCUGUCCACCUUCGGAGGAGGGUUUCAGUGCUCACUUCCUGUCUGGAAGCAUGACAUUUUCCAUUGUAUGACCCCCUAUUUUUACUCAGUCCUACUUCAAAUUCUCAGCUGACUAAUGAUGACAAACUUGCACUCCUUUUCCGAAGCGGUUGUGAAUACACUCUUUAUCAUCCUACCGAUGCACGUUAAACUUGUCCCAGAUCAGAGUAAAAGCCAGUAAGAACCUUGUCUAGAGUAUAAAGGAGUUUUCUGCCCUUUCUGUAAAUACAGUCAAGCUUUCAUUCAAAGAGAGGAAGUCAGACCGUUCCUGGGGAUCAAAACAAGGGCAUAGUAUGUGGAAGCCUGUGGGAUACAAGGCCAUGCAUCUUCUGAAGAACCACGCUCUCGGGAGAGAAUGCAGUGAAUCUGUGGCAAAGCAAAUGACUCCCAGUGGAAGUUAUGGGGGAGGAUGCUGCACUAAUGCUGAUCUGAGAACAGCUCUGCAGCCCUCGUGGUAAGGGGAUUGAGAAAUGGGCCCAUGUUAAACAAGCUCUUCAAAACAUGAAGCCUCAACUACUGAAGAAUGUCAAGGCUGUUGAAAUGUACAAUCAAUUCAGAAUGAUGUUGGAUUGGCUAAAAACUUUAAUAAAAAAAAAAGUGUUAAAAGUUGAA